rnacentral:rRNA from 1 species
UACAGAGGGUGCGAGCGUUAAUCGGAAUUACUGGGCGUAAAGCGCGCGUAGGCGGCUUUUGCAAGUCGGGUGUGAAAUCCCCAGGCUUACCUGGGAACUGCAUUCGAGACUGCAUUGCUAGAGUAUGGGAGAGGGAAGUGGAAUUUCCGGUGUAGCGGUGAAAUGCGUAGAUAUCGGAAGGAACAUCAGUGGACGAAAGCGACUUCCUGGACCAAUACUGACGUCAUGUGCGAAAGCGUGGGGAGCAAACAGG